UACGAAGGGUGCAAACGUUGCUCGGAAUUAUUGGGCGUAAAGCGCACGUAGGCGGUAUUGCAAGUCGGAUGUGAAAUCCCUCGGCUUAACCAAGGAAGUGCAUCCGAAACUGCUGUACUUGAGUACGAAAGAGGAUCGCGGAAUUUCCGGUGUAGAGGUGAAAUUCGUAGAUAUCGGGAGGAACACCAGUGGCGAAGGCGGCGAUCUGGGUCGAUACUGACGCUGAGGUGCGAAAGCGUGGGGAGCAAACAGG
rnacentral:rRNA from 1 species